rnacentral:rRNA from 1 species
UUGUAAAGAACUUUCAGUGGGGAAGAAGAAAGUGACGGUACCCACAGAAGAAGCUGACGGCUAAAUACGUGCCAGCAGCCGCGGUAAUACGUAUGUCGCAAGCGUUAUCCGGAAUUAUUGGGCAUAAUGGGCGUCUAGGCGGUUUAAUAAGUCUGAUGUGAAAAUGCGGGGCUCAACUCCGUAUUGCGUUGGAAACUGUUAAACUAGAGUUUUGGAGAGGUAGGCGGAACUACAAGUGUAGAGGUGAAAUUCGUAGAGAUUUGUAGGAAUGCCGAUGACGAAGGUAGCUUACUGGACAAAUACUGACGCUAAAGCGCGAAAGCUAGGGGAGCGAACAGGAUUAGAUACCCUGGUAGUCCUAGCUGUAAACGAUGAUCACUGGGUGUGGGGGGUCGAACCCCUGUGCCGAAGUUAAUGCGAUAAGUGAUCCGCCUG